rnacentral:rRNA from 1 species
GACGAACCGUGCGAACGUUAUUCGGAAUCACUGGGCUUAAAGCGCGUGUAGGCGGCCCGGCACGUCCGCCGCUGAAAUCCCCCGGCUCAACCGGGGAAGGGGCGCGGAUACGACCGGGCUGGAGGGGGGUAGGGGGCGCCGGAACUCACGGUGGAGCGGUGAAAUGCGUUGAGAUCGUGAGGAACGCCCGUGGCGAAAGCGGGCGCCUGGACCCCGCCUGACGCUGAGACGCGAAAGCCAGGGGAGCGAACGGG